rnacentral:rRNA from 1 species
UACGGGGGGAGCAAGCGUUGUUCGGAUUUACUGGGCGUAAAGGGCGCGUAGGCGGCCACCGCAAGUCGGUUGUGAAAUCUCUGGGCUUAACCCAGAAAGGUCAACCCGAUACUGCGGGGCUAGAGUGCAGAAGGGGCAACUGGAAUUCUCGGUGUAGCGGUGAAAUGCGUAGAUAUCGAGAGGAACACCUGCGGCGAAGGCGGGUUGCUGGG